rnacentral:lncRNA from 1 species
AGCGGUUGGUUAUUAAGGCUUAUGGAAAGACAUUUGUGUUAUUGACAUUAGACUUAGUAGGCUUAAAUGAAAUAGAACUGCUGAACUCCCCAAUGAUCUAUAGGGCAAAGUAGAGACUUUCCAAUGUACUUAUUCUUUGACGUAGUUGAGCUCCAGCUUACGCUAAUUCUUUCACUGUCAAUUCCAAACAUCCGAGAAAAGGUGCCCAUAUAAAAGUGGUUGAUUCAAGGCUAGAGUAAGAUGCUGUUAGGUUCCUCAUGGAUAUUCGAUGUCGGGGAAGGGCAGAGGGAUUAAGACACUUAUAUAGAUUAGAUAGUGGUCCCUAUUGCUAUUUGUUAGGGUGCCCCGGUAAAUAAGCAUGUAUGAAGGGUUCCUCAAGCCUCAUAUGAAUAUAUAGUAGUGGUUGUUGAGCAUAUACCUUAUUUAUAUGAGUAUAUAGUAGUGGAGCAUAUAUGAGGGUGCCUCUAGCUAGAAAGUCAAGAAGAAAGUAUAUGUUGCUGCCGAUAUGAGUUCAACAAGUCAAAUCAGAAGUUAGAAGAGAAAGAUUAGAGGCACCGCAUCUCCCAAUGAAGACGCAUAGUGGGCAAGCACCCGUUAGAGCAGUAGCAGCGGAUCGGAGCAAUCUGUUGACUUUCUUUAUCUCUAUUGUAGACAGCUUUCUAAUGCGCCCCCUACGGGAACGAGUUACAUAAAAGGAGCACGAACGAAGGAGCGGAAAGCCACUCGAUUUACUAUUACUAAUAUAGCUCCGUACCACGAGGACCUCAAUGAGGAAUGGCGGGAUGACCGUUUUUCGCUUAGAAUCAAAAUGGAUGGAUUCUCUCCCCAACUCGAACUGGCUUUCUUUACAGGAGCAUUUUCCAAUAUGUAGAUGCCCUCUCCCUAUUUAUAUUAACCCUUUCUUUGGUAGUCACAGUUCUAGUUUUCGUUCUCGCACAAUAUCGUCUAAGCUUUAUUAAAGUGAGAGAGUUCGUUCAGCCCAGGUUCAGGUCCAUAAUACAGAAGAUGAAAAAACCACAAGAAUCUUGGAAGCCAAACGGAAAGGCAGAAGUUAUGAUGUAAGGAUAUGGAGGAUAUGUUAUAUAUAUGGGUAAGAAUCUAACAGACCAGAAGAUUAUGUCCAAUAUUGAAAAUCGCCAGAUAGUUAUAGUAGCUUGGAAGAGUGGAUUUCUCUCUGUCCCUAUACCCGAAUCGUACCUAUUCCAUUGGUUACCCGAAUCGUACCUAUUCCAUUGGUCAAGGGCCAGCUCCCCUUUCUCUUCCCCAAUUUCGCAGGGAAGGCAGGAUCGAAGGGGAGAAGAUAGAUAUGAGAGACCGUUAGGUCGAAGGGGAGAAGAUAUGAAUGAAACCCCGUUACGCUCAAAGGGGCAAAGAGAUGAGAUUCCGUUUUACCAAUCAAUAAAUGAAUGAAAGGCGGGGGGACCUAUGUAGUGGAGUCGAUAGUGGUCCCAUUAUUAGGAUUUUUCAGCAGGUGGGGGAAAUAGUUAGGCUUUCUGAACCUUUUUCUUGUGAUUUGUCAGGGGGAUGAAACAAAUACGUAGGGAUCCUUUCCUCACGGUAGAAAAUGGGAUGAGAUUCCCCGAAUGGAGACUUUCAAAGAUGUAUAUAACACAUCGGCCGGAUUUCUUAUGUCUAACCUUUGUUCUAUUGGUUUGGUGGCGACAGAUAUGAAAGACAUUUGACAUGCCGGAACCCGCUCAUCUUAAAUCAUUUAGGAAGAAAAGGAGCGGCUGGAGAAAAGGCUUUCCGCUCCUGUGGUUCGGAUGUUUUGUUUGUUUACGAAGCUGUUCGAAGAGAUUAGAUAAGGGAAGAAGGCAGGCCGCUUAUAGAUUAUCUGAUCGUACUUAUAAGGCUUUGUCUGAGCUGAGCAUUUGCAAAGAAAGGCAUAGUAGUAUAGAACAUAAUCAAUAUAUUCGAUAAUUCGAAAUAAGCUUUUGAAAACGCAGUGGGCAUUCGCAUUCUCUGAGGCCAUGCAGGGAUUGACACAGGAAAGGAAGGAUAGAGGGAUUGGAUUUACACUUACUUACUUUAGACUCGGGAAAGGAAGGAGACAGAUAGAUAGAAUUCCAGAUUACUUGGUCUUCGGGCCGAGACUGUUUUGGAGUUCAAUCCAUUCCUGAUACAACAUAUAGAAAAUCAUGCCCGUCCUGUUGAUUCUUGCCUUUAGACUUUCUCUUCUUAUCUCGUGUGAAGCACAGUGAAAGAACAAUACUCAUAUUUUUCAUGGCAAGGGAAUCCGCUCGUAAGAAAUAGUUAGAUGUGUGUGUGUGGUAUCUCUAUGCUCUUAUGUGUGUGUGUGGUAUCUCUAUGCUCUUAAAGGGUAGAAUGGAAAUCCCUCCUCUCGGAUGAGUCUGGUCGAAUUCACUGCCCUCUAGAGCUGUCCAUAGUUACGGGAAUAACUGAAUGAAUCGAUCGGGUCCCCACUCUCUUUCUAUUGCCAUGGCCACUCUCUUUCUAUGGAAAUUGGAAUGACAUUGAAUUCUAUCGAUCGUACUGGAUGGACGGACCGAUUUGGAUGGUGAAAUCGUCUACGAAUCCUUGUAGAGUGGUGAGUCUCAUUGACAUGGAUUAUAGACUGAGACAGGACACUUCAUAUUAGAUUGAUGCUUAGAGAUUGAUGCUUAGAGAAUUUGAUUGACCGAGAGUACUUCCAUCCAUGGCAUUCCAGAGCCAUGCCGCUUAUUGAACUCUGGAAUUCCCUAUGCUUCCAUCGAACCUACUCUUUAUCCUCGUAGCAGAGAAGCCCUACAAAGCUUGGCGGAAUAACAUCUCUUUGAACUCUCGUAACGAGAAAGAGCACAUUCGAAAUGCAAAUAGAAUAAGAAAGACUCCUCAAGGCCUUGACCACGACUUGCUUGCUCUUCAAUCGCAUUGAAUGAACUUAUCGUAACCAUCACCAUAGAAGAAAGGCCCUUUUUAGGGUUAUAACCUAUACGUAUCGGUCACAUUAACAUUUCGGGGUUAAGAACGAACACACACUUCUAAGCUUGACAGAGUUUCAGAAGGUAUAAGAGUGCACCGAGAUGUCAAAUCUUCCUAUUCAUUGAUUCUACUGGUACAAUCUAUAAUGUAGUAUAUGAAAACGCGGACGAUUGUCAGUACUUAAUUAAUGCAAUUCGAUCAUGUCCUGCCCAAUCUUUCUUUUGAAUGGAUUAUCCCCAUCUUUCUUUUGAAUGGAUUAUAUGGAUUGGGAAUGAAUGAGUACCACCUUUCUUUCCCGAGUUUCAAGCAUAGGAAAGCUGCUAGCUCGCUAUGCUCCUGCUGUCAUAUAGGGUUCUGUCUCUAAACCGCUUACCGAAUAACGCUCCUAAGACCAUCCUUUUCGCUGCGAAGUCAGAGUGCAGUCUUAGCAAGCCCAAGGAGAGAGAGUAGCCCUUUCGUUUGCUUUAUAAGACCCCAGGCUAUUUCCUUUGUUUAUGGCAGAGACCUUAAGGAGACCAGGAUUCUGUCUCUCUUAUACAACCAACUAAUAGAUGUCCAGGAGCCUUAGAAGAAAGAAAACAUAUAGAUGUCCCCAGGAGUCCUAGAAGAAAACAUAUAGAUGUCUAGGAGCCCUAGAAGAAUAGAAUAUUAGUUAGGAAAAGAACCCGACGCAACACAUCAAUGAACGAGCCCCCACUAAGGAAAGGUUAUUAAAGCCUAAUGAUUUCCAAUAAUGUCAUUAUUGUUACGCCGAACUGCCAGACUGAAAGCUUAGCUCUCUCUUCUGCACUUUUGCUACCACGUCUCGCCGGCUCUAGGAGGGACUGACUUCCUAUUCUUUUCCAAGAGAGAAGAGCAAGUGAAUCAG